UCGGGAUAACACCUAGGAAACAGAUGCUAAUACCGGAUAACAACAGAUGAUGCCUAUCAACUGUUUAAAAGAUGGUUCUGCUAUCACUCUUGGAUGGACCUGCGGUGCAUUAGCUAGUUGGUAGGGUAACGGCCUACCAAGGCGAUGAUGCAUAGCCGAGUUGAGAGACUGAUCGGCCACAUUGGGACUGAGACACGGCCCAAACUCCUACGGGAGGCAGCAGCU
rnacentral:rRNA from 1 species